UCCGUAGUGUAGUGGUUAUCACGUUCGCUUUACACGCGAAAGGUCUCCGGUUCGAUCCCGGACGGAACAA
rnacentral:tRNA from 1 species